GACGUAGGGCGCGAGCGUUGUCCGGAUUUAUUGGGCGUAAAGAGCUCGUAGGCGGCUCGUUGCGUCGGCUGUGAAAACCCGCAGCUCAACUGUGGGCUUGCAGCUGAUACGGGCGGGCUGGAGUUCGGUAGGGGAGACUGGAAUUCCAGGUGUAGCGGUGAAAUGCGUAGAUAUCUGGAGGAAUACCGGUGGCGAAGGCGGCAUCCUGGACCGGCAUUGACGCUGAGGAGCGAAAGCCAGGGGAGCAAACGGG
rnacentral:rRNA from 1 species